CUUCCUCUCUUCGUUUGUUACACAGACAUUUACUGCACAGCUGCUUUGGGCCAGGUUCUGGGGACGCGCAAGAGAAGGUGUGCUCACUGGCCUCCUGGAAGCAACUGUCUAGCGUGGGGAGGCAGGUCAUACACAGAAAACUAUAACCUCAUGGGAUUAGUGCAAUGGUCUAAACAGUGCCUGGAGCUCAGCAGGUGCUCAGCCCAGAAGCCCUUUGACCACAGCCUGCAACUCAUUCGUCCUCAUGGUUCUCUGGGUGCCCAGCAAUGGGCCUCGUGCAAGGGAACUUGGAAGAAUUUCCAGUGUCCUCACAAGUGCUCUGUGUAGAGAUGGCCAACGCAAAUCAGUUCAGCCCUUCUGCUUGGUCCUCAGCCACGUGAUCAGCACACGUCUCUCCUCGCCUUAAUCAAGAUAAUAUAUUCUUAGCAGGGAGGGAUGUGGAGACAGGUAGGUUCCUGUUCUCUAAAUAUUUUACAUUUUCACAAGCACAGAAGCCCGGUCUGCAGCUGAGACCACCACCUUACAAAUCGUCAAAUACUCUAAUGGCCUUUGUUUGGGCCUCUUUCAGGGACUCCGUUUCUGAAUGAAAAUACUGUGACCUGGGCUCAGGGAAUCGACCGGAGGCAGAGCAUAACCCUGAUGACAUUGGGGAUGCCCCCGUCCUGUGACCUCUGUCCUUGAAUUUAUCCAAGAAGAGAAAUGGGCCCUGGGGAGCGUGGUGGUUUACACAUUCCUUAUCUGAAGACAGAGGCUGGGCAAUCUCUCAGGACCGUUUUAAUUCUAUGACCCCACAGCACACCAGGGCUUGGGUCUUGAUUACUUGUGACUGGAGAUUUUGCUAGAAGCAAGCACUGCUGCCAGGCUGAAAGUGCGAUCAGGCUCCUUUCUGCAAACUGCUCAAAUCUGAGGUUGGAGUUCAGUGGAGUUCAAUAAUGGCUGUUGAACACGGCCAGCGACCCAGCCUGAAUAGGACUGUGUUCCUGCACCAUCUGUACCUGAGGCCAGGUGAGCAAGUGAGGCACACAGACAGCCUGACCAAGCUCCAGAACCUCCUGGGUACAGGUCGUCCCCUAUUUCAUGCCUAGGCCGGCGCUACGACAGGAGAGGGAGCUGUAUGGGUGUGUGUGUACAGCUGCUGUACAAGACAGGUGACACUUUCUAAGCCUGAAGGAGAUCACAGAAUUGGGAAAUAUUUAGUUUAAAAUCCAUACAGAAGGAUCCAUGCAGAAUAAUCUGCCCACUGCCCCAGCUUGUUCCCCCCACCUCUCCCCAACCCAGUACUGUUCAAUCUCUACCUUAUUCACCUGCCUUGACCCUUCUUCAUUUUUUAGGACUACCUGAAUUUUUCAUAUUUAUUUAUUAGCUCUUUUCCCAAUCAACCCCAGGACAAGGUCUGGGACCUUGCUUGUUGUACCCCGGGCACCCCCUGCCUGGCUGCUAAACAUGUAUUGAAUACAUGAAUGGACGUCCCACACCCAAGGGCACAGCUCUGGCCCACUGGAUUUGGGCCUCUUGAAGAUGGCAACAGGAAGGUACAAGAGGAAGUGGCAUCCCCAGCUUCCAGGGAGGAUCUUCUGUCCCCUGGCUUCGGAGCUGCUGCCUCUACCUCAACUAGAGGAGCCACUACAGUUGCUCAAGCUGUCGGGGCAACCUGAGCUCUGCGCGUCGGGUGGUGGGUGUCGAAGCACUUGCCCUCGGGGCAAGGACGCCCGGGCUCAAACCUAGGCCUCCCACCUGCCAGCCAGGUCACCUGGCCCCUCUGGGCCUCAGUGUCCCAGUGUUUUUAGUAGUUAGUGUACCAAGCUCCCAAGGUUGUGAGAACUGAACAGGUUGACACAUGAAGCACCAGAACUGAAUGCGGCACCUGGUGACCCCUCUGAUGCCCCCUCUGGGUCCCUCCCUGCAGGCCCUCUUGUCACUCCACAGCACCACCUGCCAUGCUGCUUGGAAGAGGGGGGCAGUCCGUCACAGGCCCAGCUGCCCCCGGGGACUAAAUCAGGUGGACACUUGGGCACUGACCAGAUGUGUGCAGCAAAGGCCCGGCCACCCCUCUAGCCUGACCCCUCUCUGUGUCACGGCCGAGAACUUUCUCCCCUGGCUGCUGCCGAGCACGGGGUGAACUGCCAGCUGAAGUGGGGAAGGGACGGAGGAUGGGACCGUGUUUCCUGUCUACUAAGAACUCCACAGGUAGACCCUCCUCCCAUCUUCAGGACGCUCUUCUGAGGCAGACAUCAUCCGGGCCUGUGUACAGACCAAGCAGGUGGGGCUUCAGAAAGGAAGAGGGACCUUGCCAGCACGUGGGUGUCGCCGAUGCUCAGUGACCACCAGGACGGAGGUGGCAGGGGGGUGGGGUGGGACCCCGGAGGGAGGGCACCAGGCUCCAGGCUGUGUAGGAAGAAACACCGUUGCCCCCGCCCCCAGCUGGGAACACCUGCCGGAGUUCAGAGAACAUUUCCAUUCCCUUCUGGGUGUCUCUCCUUUUUGUAAUCACAACAAUGAUUAGUGGCGUUUAAUAUCUCAUCAAUUCCAUCAUUUCCACAUCUAGGAUGAUUUCUGGUGCUGAGGUUCACGAUGUCUCCCAAGGAGGCCGAAACUGAGAGCACCAGAUCUGGAAGGAUGUUUUCCGGGACGUCUGGGUGGCUCAGUGGUUGAGCGUCUGCCUCCUGGGGUCCCGGGCUCGAGUCCAGGCUCCCUGCAUGAAGGUUGUUUCUCCCUCUGCCUGUGUCUCUGCAUCUCUCUGUGUGUCUCUCAUGAAUAUAUUAGGAGAAAAAAAAAAGAACGUCUUGCACGGCCAGGCUCCACACCAUUCGGCAGCACCCAAGCCCUGCGCAGAAGUGUGGGUGGUGGGAAGCACUGGUGCCACCUCUUGAGCGAUAAGAAACAUAUUUGCCUUCACCAGGCAGGGGGUCCUGCUCCCAGAGGAGUGUGGGACCUCUGCUCAAGGAAGUCAGCAAAGGCCACACGGAGGGGCCCAUCCUGUAGCUGAGUCUUGCGGGACCAAACAGGAGUUUGCCAAGGAGGAGAAGCAGGUAGGGAACAGCCUCCAGGCAGUGGGAAGAGCAUGUGCUGAAGUUUGGAGUCAAGGAAGGGCCUGCCCUGCCAGGAAUGAGGAGAGUCCUCCUGGGACAGUGGAGCGAUUAUAAAGGGCCCUGCGUGCCUCUCUAAGGAGGGUGGACUGGACUCCCCCCCCACCCCCCAGGCAAAGGAGAGCCAGCCGGCCCUUUAAAACAGGAGUGUAUCAUGUCCCAGAUCAGCAGCUGGUUCUAGACGGGCCUCUUGGUGGCUGGAGGAAGGGCAAGCGGAGGGUAAGACAGACUGGAAACAGGAGCGUGAGUUUGGAAGGCCUGAGCUUAGGCCAUGGCAGCAUGAGCAUGGCCUCACUCCAAGCCACUAGGCAGUUGCUAAGGUUCCCUAUAAAGGGCAGCGGAGCUUUUGCAUUUACAGUCCUGCUGGUGGACCAGCAUCGCUGUCUCAGGGCAACGCGGAUGGCCAGCGUGCACGGGGGAGGUCCAGGGCUGCGGUGGAAGCAGACCCCGGCCAGCGGCGCCCCUGCAGCCCGGGCUGCUCCACCACUAUCGCUCGGGUCCAAUCGGCCUGUAAAGAUGAGCCUAAGUGCAGCCGAGAUCUUCAGCAGCCGCGGGCAGCAAUCCCCCGUGACCUCUGCUUGUUUCCCCCUUCCCAGGAAGGGACACGUCUCCCCAGCUGCCAAUAUUAUGAAUAACGCGGGCAAUGAGUCCCGUAAACCGUCAAGGCCAGACACUAAAAUACCAGCUUUCUGGGGAUUCUCUCCUUUAACCUCAUGACAAUCUUAGGGGCAGGCUCUAGAAGGGUAAGCAAAAGCCAGAAUAGCAGAAGUGGCCCUGCAGAGAGAGGCAGAAGCAGUGAAGAAUCAUCUGAACCCUGAAAUCCCCAACCAGCUGCUCUGUUUUGAUAACAGAGUACAUCAUGUAGAGAAAUCUCUUCCUCCCCAACCUCUCUCAUCCCAACCACAAAUCAGCAUGGCUUUUUUUUUUUUUUUUUGAAGGCCUCUAGUAAACA